rnacentral:lncRNA from 1 species
CAGGGCUACCUAUGGGGCACCCCAUGGGGCUCAUGGGGCCACCAGGACUACCUAUGGGGCACCCCAUGGUGCCACCAGGGCCACUAGGGCCACCAGGGCCACCUAUGGGGUGCCCCAUGGGGCUCAUGGGGCUCACAGGGCCACCUAUGGGGCACUCCAUGGGGCUUAUGGGGCCACCAGAGCCACCAGGGCCACGUAUGGGGCACCCCAUAGGGUCACCAGGGCCACCAGGGCCACCUAUGGGGCACUCCAUGGGGCUCAUGGGGCCACCAGGGCCACCAGAGCCACCUAUGGGGCACCCCAUGGGGCUCACAGGGCCACCGGGGCCACCAGGGCUACCUAUGGGGCACCCCAUGAGGCUCACAGGGCCACCGGGGCCACCAGGGCCACAUAUGGGGCACCCCAUGGGGUCACCAGGGCCACUAGGGCCACCAGGGCUACCUAUGGGGCACCGCAUGGGGCUCAUGGGGCCAGUGGGGCCACCAGGGCUACCUAUGGGGCACCCCAUGGGGUCACCAAGACCACCAAGGCCACCAGGGCUACCUAUGGGGCACCCCAUGGGGCUCAUGGGGCCAGUGGGGCCACCAGGGCUACCUAUGGGGCACUCCAUGGCACCACCAGGGCCACCAGGGCUACCUAUGGGGCACCCCAUGGGGCUCACGGGGCCAGUGAGGUCACCAGGGCCACCUAUGGGGCACCCCAUAAGGCUAAUGGGGCCACCAGGACUACCUAUGGGGCACCCUAUGGGGCUCACAGGGCCACUUAUGGGGCACCCCAUGGGGCUCAUGGGGCCAGUGAGGCCACCAGGGCCACCUAUGGGGCCACCAGGGCCACCUAUGGGGCACCCCAUGGGGCUCACAGAGCCACCGGGGCCACCCAAGGGCCACCCUGCAUGGGGCACACCAGCCCUGGGACACCCCAUGGGGCUCAUGGGGCCACCAGGGCCACCCAAUGGACCUCCUAUGGGGCUGAUGGUGCCAGUGGGACCCGCUAUGGGGCUGAUGGGGCCACCAGACCCACCUGUGAGAUCUUCUAUGGGGCUGAUGGUGUCAGUGGGACCUCCUAUGGGGUUGAUGGGGCCACCAGGUCCACCCACGGGCCCGCCUAUGGGGUUGAUGGGGCCACCAGGUCCACCCAUGGCCCUUCCUACGGGGCUGAUGAGGCCACCAGGUCCACCCAAGGCCCCUCCUACGGGGCUGAUGAGGCCACCAGGUCCACCCAAGGCCCCUCCUAGAGGGUUGAUGGGGCCACCAGGUCCACCCAUGGGCCCUCCUAGGGGGUUGAUGGGGCUACCAGGUCCACCCACGGACUCUCCUAUGGCGCUGAUGGGGCCACCAGGUCCACCCACGGCCCCUCCUACGGGGUUGAUGGGGCCAGUGGGACCCGCUACGGUGUUGAUGGGGCCACCAGGUCCACCCACGCACUCUCCUAUGGGGCUCAUGGGGCCAGGGGGACCCGCCGUGGUGUCGAUGGGGCCACCAGGUCCACCCCCGAGCCCUCCAGUGGGGUCCCCGGUGUCCCCAGGGCCACCCACGAGGGGCAGCACCGCGGGGCCGAAGCGGUAGGUGAGCUUGCGGCGCACCUUGCGCACCUGGCCGGAGCGGGCGU